UACAGAGGUGGCAAGCGUUGUUCGGAAUUACUGGGCGUAAAGGGCGCGUAGGCGGCCGCCUAAGUCGGACGUGAAAUCCCCAAGCUUAACUUGGGAACUGCGUCUGAUACUGGGCGGCUUGAGUUCGGGAGAGGAAUGUGGAAUUCCAGGUGUAGCGGUGAAAUGCGUAGAUAUCUGGAGGAACACCGGUGGCGAAGGCGGCAUCCUGGACCAAUUCUGACGCUGAGGAGCGAAAGCCAGGGGAGCAAACGGG
rnacentral:rRNA from 1 species